GCCACCUCAGAGCCGGCCAGGUAGAAGAUGAUCUCAUAGUUCUUCAACACAUCCACCAGGCGGCCUGGGGAGGAGGAGGAAGAGGAGGGAGAGAUGUAAAACCUCAUGUGGAUUCUGCCAUUUGAAACCUUAAAAAUGUCACUUGCUGUCCCUGGACCUCAAUUGCUUAAGUGAUAUGUGGCUUCUGGGAUGGGGUCUUGCUGUGUUGCCCAGGCUGGUCCUGAACUC
rnacentral:lncRNA from 1 species